rnacentral:lncRNA from 1 species
CACAGCUGGGAUGUGGCAGAACUGGGGUUCCAGCUCCUGUUCCCAUUGCUGGACAGCUGCCACAUCUGGCACCCAAUUUAGGACCCCAUGGGGAGGCCCAGUUCCUGGGGGUGGCGGGGGAUCCUAGAGGGAAGUGGUAAGGCCAGGACCCUGGAGCAGGGCCAGUGGAAUGUCACCAUUGCCCAGGUGGGGAUUUUUGUGUGUUUUGUUCACUGCUGUACACCCAGCCCCCAGCACAGCGCCUGUCCAGGACAAGUGCCCAGUAAACACUCGGGAAGCAAUGCAAGCGUCCUCCCAGCAGCUCCUGCAAGCAGACCCCCGACCCAAGCCCUUCCUUCUGCCUCCACUGCCACCAUUGCUGCUCAUCUCUGCUGGCACAGAAGUCUCUUCCCUGGUCUUCCAGAAAUCCCCUCUCCACACUCAGCCAGAGGGAGCUGUUAAAACUGCGGGCCAGCCCACAUCCGUCCACAGCAAAGUCCUCUCUAAGGGAUCCCUGUUGCUUGGAGAAUAAACCCUCAGAUUCGUUCCUUCCUUGGCUCUCGG